UGAUAUAUAAUGAUUUUAGAAACAGAAAAAGACAAACACUGUAAUGUCUGGAAGAGUAAGAGCAAGGGGCCCAGGGAUAAGAAAAGGCCCAGUGAGAGAUACAGUGAGAGGUGCAGGAGCAGGUAGAGGUGCAGGGCCAGGGA